rnacentral:rRNA from 1 species
AACGAACGCUGGCGGCAGGCUUAACACAUGCAAGUCGAACGCGCCCUUCGGGGCGAGUGGCAGACGGGUGAGUAACGCGUGGGAACCUACCUUUUGGUACGGAAUAACUCAGGGAAACUUGAGCUAAUACCGUAUAAGCCCUGACUUUUAAUCGGGUCUGGGGAAAGAUUCAUCGCCAAAGGAUGGGCCCGCGUCGGAUUAGCUAGUUGGUGGGGUAAUGGCCUACCAAGGCGACGAUCCGUAGCUGGUCUGAGAGGAUGAUCAGCCACACUGGGACUGAGGCACGGCCCAGACUCCUACGGGAGGCAGCAGUGGGGAAUAUUGGACAAUGGGGGCAACCCUGAUCCAGCCAUGCCGCGUGAGUGAUGAAGGCCUUAGGGUUGUAAAGCUCUUUCGCCGGUGAAGAUAAUGACGGUAACCGGAGAAGAAGCCCCGGCUAACUUCGUGCCAGCCGCCGCGGUAAAAC